AUAAAAGAGCCAUGUGAAAAAGAAGAGAGAUUACAGGUUUAGGAGAGAAGAGAUCAUUGGCAGAACAAGAUCUUGUGGAAGUGUUUUGCAUGCAGUAUGAAACAGAUUGUAAAGAUGGACUCCUGUGGAAUAUGCUGUGUUUGGUGCUAAUUCCCAAUCAAGAUGUGUGUAUUGCUUAAUAGCCUCUGAAAUCUGUAUGAAACUAAUUGCUUAGGAGUUAACCAGGCAAUGGAUAAACAUUUUCUUUCACUGGAAUAUAAGCUUCAUGAUAGCAGGGAUUUUACUUAUUUUCUCAUUGAUGUGUUCCCAGCACAUAGAACUGUAUCUGGCACGUAAUGGAUUCUCUUCUACAGUGCCAUCACUCCAGUCAUGUAAACCAUAUGUCACUUCAUAAAGAAAAAGAGUGGCUGAAGAUACCC